rnacentral:rRNA from 1 species
GAUGAACGCUGGCGGCGUGCCUAAUACAUGCAAGUCGAGCGAACGGACGAGAAGCUUGCUUCUCUGAUGUUAGCGGCGGACGGGUGAGUAACACGUGGAUAACCUACCUAUAAGACUGGGAUAACUUCGGGAAACCGGAGCUAAUACCGGAUGAUAUUUUGAACCGCAUGGUUCAAAAGUGAAAGACGGUCUUGCUGUCACCUAUAGAUGGAUCCGCGCUGCAUUAGCUAGUUGGUAAGGUAACGGCUUACCAAGGCAACGAGGCAUAGCCGACCUGAGAGGGUGAUCGGCCACUCGGGAGCGAGGACGCGGCCCCACCCCCGACGGGAGGCAGCGGUGGGAAUCCUUCGGCAGGGGGCAGAAGCCUAACGGGGAAACGCGGCGUGAGUGUGAAAGUGCUUCGGUGCGUAAAACCUUUUUUUUGGGGAGAAACAAAUGUGUAAUAACCGGGGCGCUUUUUACCGGUCCCGAAUAAGAAGCCCCGGGUAAACUCGGG